GGGAAAUAUCAUUAUGAAAUGAAUGUUUUUCUCAAAUACACGUUGGACAAAAUUAUUGGCACCCCUAGAAAUUCUUAUGAGUAAAUUAUCUCAGAAGCAUAUUCACAUUCAUAUUUACAAUUUUGAGCACUCCAGGGUGAUUAUGAACAUGAAAUUAUCCAUCCAAGGCUUCCUGUUUCACAUAAAUAUAAAUAUGAGGGAAAAAAAAAACAAAAAACAAAGCCCAAAUUCCCUUAAUCAUCCAUCACAAUGAGAAAAACCAAAGAAUAUAUUUCUGAUGUGCAGCAAAAGAUAAUUGAGCUUCACAAAUUAGUGAAGUGGCUUUAAGAAAAGAGCUACAGCAGUGAAAAAUCCCAUUUCCACCAUCAGGGCAAUAAUUAAGAAUUUCCAAUCAACAGAAAAUAUUAUAAAUCUGCCUGGAAGAGGACGUGUCUCUAUAUCGUCCUAAUGCACAGUGAGAAGGAGAGUUUGAGUGGCUAAAGACUCUCCAAGGCUCACAGCUGGAGAAUUGCAGAAAAAAGUUGAGUCUUGGGGUCAGAAAACCUUAAAAAAUAUUGUCAAACAGCACCUACAUCACCACAUGUUGUUUGGGGGGGGGGCAUAUUAAAAAAAGUGACUGACUCUUAUAAUGGGCCAUGUUUGGAUCUUCCAACCGUACAAUAAUCCAAACACAAACCUCAAAAACAACACAAAAAUCGGUCAGUGAGCACUAAACCAAGCUUCUGCUAUGGCCAUUCCAGUCCUCUGACCUGAACCCUAUAGAAAAUGAGUGUGGUGAACUAAAGAGAAAAAGCACCUACAUGGAGCUGGGAAUCUAAAGGAUCUGAAGUGAUUCUGGAUGAAGGAAUGGUCUCUGAUCUCUUGUCAGGUGUUCUCAAACCUCAUCAGGCAUUAUAGGAGAACAUUAAGAGCUGUUACACUGGCAAUUUGUUUUUUUUUAAGCUCAGGAGGUAAGAAACCAUCAGAAGACAGUUAUACUACAAAACCAUCCAGUGCCAGUGAAUUACGACACACUAUGCAGAAUCAGACUGGGAUGUCAAUACAGACACAUUUGACAUGCUGUUUUUUCUUUGUCUCUGUGCUUUGGAGUCCUGGAGCCCAACAAGUAGUUACUGUGGAUUGCAAGGCAGAGCAUCUAUGUAGUUGGGAGCAAUGUCUAGCUAUAGACAUCACUGAUAGAGACCCCUCUGACAACCCAGAUGGGAUUCCAUACAAGCUAAUAGCAGAAAUUUGUAUGGCAGGUUUGUGACUAUGAAUGAUUCCAUAUAAUGAUCUGUGCAGUGCAUUCUCUUAUUUUUAACUUCUUUUUUUUCUCUUUUUUUUUUCUAUAUUUGAUGGUUGAUAAAAGAGUUGAAUAUUUUGAUGACUGCCAAAUGGCUUAAGUGGUCCUGUUCAAUGAAGCGAAGAAGCAAUUUUAUGUAAUUUAUUUAACUUUAUUUAAUAUAUCAUCACUUGUUACAGUGUUCAAAUUCUGGUCUUGAAAUGCUAAAAUAGUGUUUCAUAUUUUUUAUUUUAUAUUAGCCAUACAUUAUUUUUAUUACAUUGAACUCUACCCACAAAUAUCUACCUAUGGUGCAUAUCAACCAGUGGGCCCUAUGGUGUAGCUCUGCCUCUGGUCUCAGUGUUUCAUGAAUGACUUGCUGCUUAAAAGAUUCUUAAACUAGUAUGAAGUAUAUUGUAAAAUGAUCACUCUGUCGCUGUACUGUUUACAGGAAUAGCGAGUACAGACAUUGCUUCUAUCUUUGAGGAGCACCAUAUCUGUAAGAACAGUAGCAUGCUGCAGUGUGACCAAUACCGGGACAGUAGGCGUCUAUGCACUGGACUAGAACAAGCUUGUCUUCAACAAUGUAUUGGUGGGUCAGUCAGCCAAAUCCCAGUUCUGGCUGACCAAUCCAGGGAAUGUGUCCUGUAAACUCAGCCUGGUCAUCAAAACAGUCAAGGUGUGUUUGUGAGAAGUGGUUUUGCCACUAUUGAUGUUGUUCUGCAGUAUAUGUAAAUAUUUUGUAGAGGU
ensembl:lncRNA